rnacentral:rRNA from 1 species
GACGAACGCUGGCGGCGUGCUUAACACAUGCAAGUCGAACGGAAAGGCCUCUUUCGGGGGGUACUCGAGUGGCGAACGGGCGAGUAACACGUGAGUAACCUGCCCUUGACUUUGGGAUAACUUCAGGAAACUGGGGCUAAUACCGGAUAGGAGCUCCUGCUGCAUGGUGGGGGUUGGAAAGUUUCGGCGGUUGGGGAUGGACUCGCGGCUUAUCAGCUUGUUGGUGGGGUAGUGGCUUACCAAGGCUUUGACGGGUAGCCGGCCUGAGAGGGUGACCGGCCACAUUGGGACUGAGAUACGGCCCAGACUCCUACGGGAGGCAGCAGUGGGGAAUAUUGCACAAUGGGCGGAAGCCUGAUGCAGCAACGCCGCGUGCGGGAUGACGGCCUUCGGGUUGUAAACCGCUUUCGCCUGUGACGAAGCGUGAGUGACGGUAAUGGGUAAAGAAGCACCGGCUAACUACGUG